rnacentral:rRNA from 1 species
AUCUCUAUAAUUUUACUAUCAAAUCCACUUUCAAUAACUUUUUCAUAAUUAUUUUCAUAUAAAUAUUUUUAUUGUAACUCAUUACUUGCUUAAAUAUAAGCUACACCUUGAUCUGAUAUAAAUUUUAUUUUAAAUUUUAGAAAAUUAUUAUUCUUUUAAAAUAUUCUAAUAACAACGGUAUAUAAACUGAUUAACUAAUUUAAGUAAGGUCCAACGGGGAUUAUCGAUUAUAGAACAAGUUCCUCUGAAUAGACUAAAAUACCGCCAAAUUUUUUAAGUUUCAAGAACAUAACUAAUAC